CGUAGGGUGCGAGCGUUAAUCGGAAUUACUGGGCGUAAAGCGUGCGCAGGCGGUUUAGUAAGACAGGCGUGAAAUCCCCGGGCUCAACCUGGGAACUGCGCUUGUGACUGCUAAGCUAGAGUACGGCAGAGGGGGGUGGAAUUCCACGUGCAGCAGUGAAAUGCGUAGAGAUGUGGAGGAACACCAAUGGCGAAGGCAGCCCCCUGGGUCGAUACUGACGCUCAUGCACGAAAGCGUGGGUAGCAAACAGGAUUAGAUACCCUGGUAGUCCACGCCCUAAACGAUGUCAACUAGGUGUUGGAUGGGUAAAACCAUUUAGUACCGGAGCUAACGCGUGAAGUUGACCGCCUGGGGAGUACGGCCGCAAGGUUA
rnacentral:rRNA from 1 species